rnacentral:rRNA from 1 species
GACGAACGCUGGCGGCGUGCUUAACACAUGCCAGUCGAACGGAAAGGCCCUGCUUUUGUGGGGUUCUCGAGUGGCGAACGGGUGAGUAACACGUGAGUAUCCUGCCCUUGACUUUGGGAUAACUUCAGGAAACUGGGGCUAAUACCGGAUAGGAGCUCCUGCUGCGUGGGGGGGGUUGGAAAGUUUCGGCGGUUGGGGCUGGACUCGCAGCUUCUCCGCUUGUUUGUGGGGUAGUGGCUUACAAAGGCUUUGAAGGGUAGCCGGCCUGAGAGGGUGGCCGGCCACAUUGGGCCUGAGAUACGGCGCAGACGCCUACGGGAGGCAGCAGUGGGGAAUAUUGCACAAUGGGGGGAAGCCUGAUGCAGCAACGCCGCGUGCGGGAUGCCGGCCUUCGGGUUGUAAACCGCUUUCGCCUGUGACGAAGCGUGAGUGACGGUAAUGGGUCAAGAAGCACCGGCUAACUACGUG